rnacentral:sRNA from 1 species
GUCAGCCACGGUUCCCCGACUGGCAGAAAGACUUACCACUGAACUCAUCGUGCACAUCCAAAAAUCGCUCCCGUUGUUAGAAGAACAAAUAAGGGAGAGCCACCAGAAGGCGACCGAGGAGCUGCGGCGUUGCGGGGCUGACAUCCCCAGCCAGGAGGCCGACAAGAUGUUCUUUCUAAUUGAGAAAAUCAAGAUGUUUAAUCAGGACAUCGAAAAGUUAGUAGAAGGAGAAGAAGUUGUAAGGGAGAAUGAGACCCGUUUAUACAACAAAAUCAGAGAGGAUUUUAAAAACUGGGUAGGCAUACUUGCAACUAAUACCCAAAAAGGUAAGUUCUGGGCAGGGCUCCCUGCAAAACAGGGUGGUAUUUACCCAGACCAGAGGCUACGUCCAGCACAUGAUAAGUGUGCCAAGAGUGGAACACGCCCAUCCAAGACCGUGGAACCCUUGGUAAUCAGCAACUGUCUCUCAACGAACAAAACCCAGAAAUAUGGGGCAUUGACCUCAGAAACUCAACACAGGGCAAUUCCACUGCCUCUGAUGUCCUCGUGUCUUGAUUUUGUUUUGUUUUGUUGAGACAGGGUCUCCCUCUGUUGCCUAGGCUGGAGUGUAGUGGCGCAAUCAUGACUCACUGCAGCCUCAACCUCCCAGGCUCAAGUGAUCCUCCCACCUCAGCCUCCUGAGUAGUUGGGACCACAGGCAUGAACCACCAUACCCAGAUAAUUUUUGUACUUUUUUGUAGAGAUAGGUUUUCACC